GAUAAUGGUAAGGCCACUUGCAUAAACAUUGUACAUCAAACCACCCCGAUAUAUAUAUUCAUGGGGGAAUUUCAAAGUACAUUCAUUUGAAUGCAAUGUAUUCUUAUAUUACUAUCGAGGCGUUACAACAUUAUUGCCAUUGUUACAAGCGGUCCGGAUCAGCUGGAGUUUAUCGAGGAUAGAGAAUAAAGCAUUUGUUUUCAUUCGACUUGGAUUAAAAUAAGAAUACCAUAGCCUUUCCUGGCGGACAAAGUCUGCGGGUCCUAAGCCCAGUAAAAGGAGUUAAUCAUUAGUACUACCUUGGUUCUGCUUUUAACUUUACCGGAAAUUUUGUUUGAAACCAAGAAACCAUUGCAGUGAAGGGUCUUAAGGCUGUAUAUGUAAGUACCACGUUGAAUUUUGGGGGGUUUCCAAAACUGUGUCCCACUACUAAAAAAGCAUAAAAAGUAAUAUAUAACAUGAAAAAACUCGUUUAAAUAUAUUUGUAGAUUAACAAUUAUAACAUAUGUUUUAAAAUGUAUUUCUUGCUUCUUGCUUCUUCUGUAAAUGUUUAAUAUAUUUUAUAUUGAUAUUUCUUCUUAUUUUAUAUGCAUAAUCGAAAACAAAUCAGGACCACCUAAAACAGCCAGGCGGAGUGUAUACAAACCUUACUCAGAAUAUAAGGCGUUUUCUGCGCUUCAAAUGGAAUGCCGCUGAUCAAUGUGUAACAUGUUUAAGGUCAUACGUAUUUCUAAAUUAUUGUUUGUAUCUAGAAUAUAUUUCAUAUUAUGCCAAAAUGGCAAUUUAAAAAUAAAAUAUAUAACCUAUUUUGCUUCUAACGGUUCAAAGUUCUUACCAGUUUAACACCAUGUAUGUACUGUUCAGCAGUUUGUUUGCAUUAGAAGUGGAUUAAUCUAAGAAGAACACCGCAACUCUGCCAAAAAAAAGAACUGCCGGUCAAAGUGGGGUUACAAUUCAUCAUAAAACCAUGGGAACCUGCUUACAAAAGAUGCGUUUUGCUUGCAUGGUUGAUGGAAAAACAUUACGACGUGCAUUUGUUGGAUUUGUCUGUACAGCAGUACUGUCACUCCUUUUCCUCGUCUCUGUUGUAUCAUGGAUAAUCUAUAAUGAAAUGACUACGGAAUUCGUCGAACACGAACUAAACGAUCUGAGUCUAGGGGAUUUGGUUUCCACCGACUGUGUAUGGUAGGAAUUAAAAACGACUACAGCUAGACUGGUUGGCGUGAUAGACACAGUACUAAGUGAAACAGUGCAAGGUCAUUCAAAACUUCGUUGGAACACAAACAGCAGCACAAUCACUGACGACAACUACAUUCAUUUCCGUGAUGAGGGGGACAUCUUCAUCAAGAAAUCAGGAUACUACAUAUUAUCUUCAACACUCAAUCUUAACACGACAGGAAUGAACAAUACAACAACAACAUUCAGUCACCACGCAAAUCUACAGUCCCACAAAUUUGGAACAACUGAUGCUCUUAUGCAAAAGCAAAUGUGUAUAAGAGGUUCAGACGAUUGUGUUUUUACAAGUUUUUUAUCCGCCAUUUUUAAGCUAUAUGAAACUGAUAGGAUAUCUGUGUCCGUUAGCAACCCAAACUAUUUAGGUCUUAACCACUCUAGUGACCUUUUUACUGCAUACUAUAGUUACCAUAUGACCUAAAUUCGAUUUCUUGCUUUUGCAUCAUCAGGGUAAGGAAUCACGUGAAUUUGAAGGGGUUCUCACAUGCGUCACCACAGGUCACAGCCGAUGUAAACAUCCGAUUAAGUGACGUUAACUACUAAAUACCUUUUUAAAAGAAAAUAUAUGAAAAUAUUAUUUAGCCUAUAAAUAGACUAUGCCAAAAUCUGUUUUAAACGCGUGUGAAAUAUUUAAGAUUUGCUUGUAUGUUAAUGAUGCAAUCCUUGACCAAAAUACCAGCGAUGCGUCGUUCUACAAAGUUCCGACAAGUUGAAAUAUUAGCGGAGGAUGGCAUCAUCGAAAUACAGGGCAAAUCUGAAUGAGUUUACGUGUGAAGAAGCAGAAAAUAGCAUAGUUUGUUAUAGGUUAGGAAAUGUUUUCUUAGUUUUUCUGUAAAUCAGAAAUCAACAUCACUUGCUGGUUUCUUUACAUUGGUUGUGAUCUGCGGUGACGCAUUAGGGAACCCUUUCAGUCACAUUUAUUUUGAGGUUUAUUUAUCACUCCUUUAAUGGUGUGUUUCAUAUAAUGUUCAUAUACAUAUUUGUUUGGGUUUUUUAUUCCUAGUAUUUUGUCAAUAAAUUUGACUUUUUGA